rnacentral:rRNA from 1 species
AUUGAACGCUGGCGGCAGGCCUAACACAUGCAGGUCGAGCGGAUGAAGGGAGCUUGCUCCUGGAUUCAGCGGCGGACGGGUGAGUAAUGCCUAGGAAUCUGCCUGGUAGUGGGGGAUAACGUCCGGAAACGGGCGCUAAUACCGCAUACGUCCUGAGGGAGAAAGUGGGGGAUCUUCGGACCUCACGCUAUCAGAUGAGCCUAGGUCGGAUUAGCUAGUUGGUGGGGUAAAGGCCUACCAAGGCGACGAUCCGUAACUGGUCUGAGAGGAUGAUCAGUCAAACUGGAACUGAGACACGGUCCAGAAUCCUACGGGAGGCAGCAGUGGGGAAUAUUGGACAAUGGGCGAAAGCCUGAUCCAGCCAUGCCGCGUGUGUGAAGAAGGUCUUCGGAUUGUAAAGCACUUUAAGUUGGGAGGAAGGGCAGUAAGUUAAUACCUUGCUGUUUUGACGUUACCAACAGAAUAAGCACCGGCUAACUUCGU